ACAGGGAAAUGUGAAGGUUUUGAGACCGCUGAUAAUUAUGUAAUAGAUAAGAAACAUGAGUUAAAGUGACUUCCACAAGGUUCACGUAGAAAUGGAACUGGAACUCAGAUAUCCUGAGUUAAUAUCCAUGUUCUUUACACCACAGAGCAGUCUCUGGAUAGAAGAUCCACAUGUACAGACAAUAUUUUUCAUGUCUCACAGUGACCAGCAUUUGUAAUAAUAGUGGAGAUGGAAAAACCUUAAGGGGUUUGUGUCCUCUUCCUCCCUCUUCAGGCUCAGCUAAUACCUCGAUCACCCACAGUGGAGGUGAGAGCCUGCCCACUCUCUAACACUUCUGUGGCCCAGACUAUCCCCACAUCUUACCUUUUGCUCCAGCUCUUUCCUGGCUGUCAGCUCCGAGUCCAGCCUCUCCUCGCAUUGCUGCAGACGCUUUCUGAGGAACUCGUUCUCCAUCUGAGCACAGUCGAAGCGCAUCUGCCACUCGUCUGCUGUUUAACGGAGUCAGGGAGACCAGGAUAAGAGGCCAAAUGAGUGUAAGGCAAGAGUACCCCUGAUCUCCAUUCCCCUGGACAUCUCAAGGGCACAAAUUCUCUGGACACACGGAGGGAAUAAUGCUGACAUUUUAUAGAAGCUGACCCACUGGAUAUCCUUCUCACCCAACUCCAUUAGGCUGGGGAGAGUAAGAGGCACGGUGACAAGGUGGCAAAGAUGUCACCAUGCCAUCCAAUCACGAGGUCUCCAGGAAACUGUAUAAGAAGGACACCUCCAGAAAC
ensembl:lncRNA MYO18B-AS1 MYO18B antisense RNA 1